rnacentral:rRNA from 1 species
GACGAACGCUGGCGGCGUGCUUAACACAUGCAAGUCGAACGGAAAGGCCCUGCUUUUGUGGGGUGCUCGAGUGGCGAACGGGUGAGUAACACGUGAGUAACCUGCCCUUGACUUUGGGAUAACUUCAGGAAACUGGGGCUAAUACCGGAUAGGAGCUCCUGCUGCAUGGUGGGGGUUGGAAAGUUUCGGCGGUUGGGGAUGGACUCGCGGCUUAUCAGCUUGUUGGUGGGGUAGUGGCUUACCAAGGCUUUGACGGGUAGCCGGCCUGGGAGGGUGACCGGCCACAUUGGGACUGAGAUAGGGCCCAGACGCCUACGGGAGGCAGCAGUGGGGAAUAUUGCGCAAUGGGCGGAAGCCUGAUGCAGCAACGCCGCGUGCGGGAUGACGGCCUUCGGGUUGUAAACCGCUUUCGACUGUGACGAAGCGUGAGUGACGGUAAUGGGUAAAGAAGCACCGGCUAACUACGUG